rnacentral:piRNA from 1 species
UGGAGAUUGUUAUGACCCUGUGGUAUGUC